GUCCAUGCCGUAAACGAUGAUUACUAGGUGUUGGGGAUUGACCCCCUCAGUGCCGCAGUUAACACAAUAAGUAAUCCACCUGGGGAGUACGACCGCAAGGUUGAAACUCAAAGGAAUUGACGGGCACCCGCACAAGCGGUGGAGCAUGCUGUUUAAUUCGAAGAUACGCGAAGAACCUUACCUGGGCUUGACAUCCCAGUGAAAGCUUUUGGAAACAAGAGCCCUCCCUUCGGGGACACUGGUGACAGGUGGUGCAUGGUUGUCGU
rnacentral:rRNA from 1 species